rnacentral:lncRNA from 1 species
UAAGUUGUUUAGACCUACUCUCUCUGACUCUUAUUUCCAAGGGAAGAAUUCCAAAAGGAGUGAGCAGCCAGGUGACAACACUCACAAUUCCCCAAGGUUUUUAAAAAAUAGUUAUCUGUAUCAGCUCUGAGAGAUGGGUUGAAUAAUUGAGUACAAUCAAGAUUAAAACAACAGUAAAUUUGCCUGAUCUGAGUCACCAAAGGGGGCAUGGAACCAACGCUUUUUAAUUGGGCAGAUUGAAUGUUACAGCCAUUUGGCUUGGUUGCUGUCAUACAGUAACCAGGGACUUGAGCCAAG